GCAGGAGUGGCGGAAUAGGCAGACGCGCACGUUUGAGGGGCGUGUGAGUAAUCGUACGGGUUCAAGUCCCGUCUUCUGCA
rnacentral:tRNA from 1 species